rnacentral:rRNA from 1 species
AGAACGAACGCUGGCGGCAGGCUUAACACAUGCAAGUCGAGCGCCCCGCAAGGGGAGCGGCAGACGGGUGAGUAACGCGUGGGAAUCUACCCAAUCCUUCGGAAUAGCUCCGGGAAACUGGAAUUAAUACCGAGUACGCCCUACGGGGGAAAGAUUUAUCGGGGUUGGAUGAGCCCGCGUUGGAUUAGCUAGUUGGUGGGGUAAUGGCCUACCAAGGCGACGAUCCAUAGCUGGUCUGAGAGGAUGAUCAGCCACACUGGGACUGAGACACGGCCCAGACUCCUACGGGAGGCAGCAGUGGGGAAUAUUGGACAAUGGGCGCAAGCCUGAUCCAGCCAUGCCGCGUGAGUGAUGAAGGCCCUAGGGUUGUAAAGCUCUUUCAGUGGGGAAGAUAAUGACGGUACCACAGAAGAAGCCCCGGCUAACUUCGUGCCAGCAGCCGC